ensembl:lncRNA protein MGARP-like
GCUUGAGAGACACGCUUUUGGCAAGUAACUCUGUUAGUUGAAGUUUUCAGUGACUCAGAUUCCGGACUCACAGCGGGAAUAAUGAUGUUCUGCAGAGUGGCUUGGCAAAGACUUGCGCCUCUGGCACGCAAAACACUCACUCCUUUCAGCAAUGCUGUGUUCCCUACACGACAGAUGUCCUUUGGUCUACCUGCGUCCGGCACAAACAUAGCUUACAUGGUACUUGGUGGAAGCUCGCUUACUGCUGCUCUUGUUUAUGCCUAUAAGACAAUAAACUCUGACAGUGCAAGAUAUAAUGAAAGAAUUGCUCAACUCGAGGCCAGAUCUAAAAGAGCAGUGGCCGAGGUGGGCUCAGUAGCAGAAGCAGCUGCGGUUGUGGAAACCACAGCAGCUGAACUUGCCACAGUUGUUGAGGCCACAGCAGCACAACCCGUCAUUGAGGUGGUUAAUGCAGAGGCUGAACAGACCUCAGAACCUGUGGAUGCAACACUGGAUGUUGGGGCAGCAACUACCAUUGUAGAGGCAGUAGCAGCUGAUGCUGAGGAACCUACUGCACCUGUUGUUGAGGAUGUUGCUGCUGAGGCUGCUUCUCCAAGUGCUGAGACAACCGGUGAGGCGUGUUCUGCUGAGGAAGCAGUCUGAAUCCCCAGCAGUCUAGAUAUAUGAUUCUUCCCAACCCACCUUGGAACGCUGCAUUAACUUUUAGAGACUCCCAUUUUUGUGCUCCUUUUAACUGAUUGACUGUGUCCUCUGCACAAAAAGAAGUGUCCCUUCUGAACUCCACAGGGUGCUAAUCCCACAGUUGAGGAGGAGGAGAGGUUGAUGAAGUCCAAAAAAUCAGUGGCAAUGCUUUUCAAUUCCAAACUGAGGUUUUAUUAUCCCAGUCUGUGUUUUGAUGCUUGAAUAUCUAAUGUAAAUCGCAUAUGAUUUUUUAACAUCUCCUCCUUCACAUCCAGUGGAUGUGCCUGCUGUAAUACUGUGUCCCUGCAGUAUAACAUAUUGUGUCUCAUACGUGUGCAUGGAGACAUUUUUCUUAAAUAGCUUCAUAUUGACAAUGACUUUUACUGUCAACAAGAACAUGCUAAUAUUUUAUGGAUAAGUAGGUUUGUGCGUCCUUCAGAACUGAAUGCUUUUUACAUUCCAGGUCAGUUCCUAUUUCAAUGGUAUUGAAUUGAAUUUGAACUGAGAUAGUAAACAGCAUGCAGAAUUGUGUUUAAGGAAGUAGAAUUAAAAUGGACCGAAAGUCAAAGGAAUUUAUGUAAGUGCAAUAACUGUAAUUUUAACUAGAAAAAGAAAGUUAAUCAAGACAAACUUUAAGCGAUGGCUUGUAGAACUUGACAAAGUUUCAUUCAUUUCAGCCUUAUAGACAGACAGAGAAACAAACAUAGAUCUGUUUGAAAUGUCACCUAACCAUCUUUAGCCGCUUUAGGUAAAUAACUAGAAGAAUAACAAAUUGCAAUAAACAGUAAAACUAAAAUAAAUGAAUAUUUUUCAAAUAAAUUAAAAUAAUAUGAUAAAGGACUGUUUUGUACAGCUAAGAUAACUAGAAAUGGCUGACACCGGAAGCGUUGCGCAUUUGGUUAAAAACAAAGUGGACAAAGUGAAUAAUUCAUUUAUAUAUAAUUCUUCUUAUAGGGUAGAAGAACACUUGAUUGACUUUAGGGUGGCCAAGUUUUCGAUUCUGAAUUUUGCCCAAUCCUGAUACCUACAAUAAAAUGUGUCUUACAUGUUUUUGGAGGUGCCUUUCUGCACAUGCAUUCAAAAUCCCUGUGGCCUAAUAAGCAACUCUUCCUUCAAGGGAGAUCACUUUUUUAUGAUUCACCAUUGUUUUUCUACCUGUGAAUGUUCUUUCUCAGUUAUUGGGAUGGAGGAAAUCCACUGUGCCUUUUACUUUUUUUUUUAUUAUUAUCUUAAAUAUCUCUUAAAAUUUGAACUAUCAUGGAAACAUAAUGCCAGUGUCACUUACAUGUCAUGGCACUGGAGACAUUUGCUCUUAAUCUUGAUGCUGUUUUUGAAUUUAGGCUCUACCAAGUAAGAACUGAAGUUGAUUGCAGUUUUCAAAACUGA